AUCGCAAGCUUAUUGUUUUUAUUCAACUCAACUUUCACUUAGCAUACACUUCUUUUUGUUGGAUCAAUGUCUAAUAGGUUUGGCCAUGUUUUAGUAAUAUUUGUCUAAUCCAAUGUAUUUGAUCCUGAAAGUUUAAGAGUAUCAUUACACUUUGUUCAGGGAAACUACUUGAGAGAUACAGUGUGUUCUUAAUCCUCAACUAUGGAUAAUAAUUCUUCUCCUCAGGUUUUUAACUUAUUCCCUAAUAGGUUAGUCUUUAC
rnacentral:lncRNA from 1 species